rnacentral:rRNA from 1 species
CUACGGGUUGCAGCAGUAGGGAAUAUUGGGCAAUGGGCGCAAGCCUGACCCAGCAACGCCGCGUGCGCGAAGAAGGCCUUCGGGUCGUAAAGCGCUUUUCUGAGGGAUGAGAAAGGACAGUACCUCAGGAAUAAGCCUCGGCUAACUACGUGCCAGCAGCCGCGGUAAAACGUAGGAGGCGAGCGUUAUCCGGAUUUACUGGGCGUAAAGCGUGUGCAGGCGGUCUGGCAAGUUGGAUGUGAAAGCUCCCGGCUCAACUGGGAGAGGUCGUUCAAAACUACCGGACUAGAGUGUAUCAGAGGGAGAUGGAAUUCCCGGUGUAGUGGUGAAAUGCGUAGAUAUCGGGAGGAACACCAGUGGCGAAAGCGAUCUUCUGGGAUACUACUGACGCUCAGACACGAAAGCUAAGGUAGCGAACGGGAUUAGAUACCCCCGUAGUC